rnacentral:tRNA from 1 species
GGCGCAUUCGUCUAUCGGUAGGACGCAAGAUUCUCAUUCUUGUAAGAAGGGUUCGAUUCCCUUAUGCGCUA